rnacentral:lncRNA from 1 species
GUAGACUUUCAUAGCCUAAGAAACCGGCUUCGGCUUCUUUAAAAAAAAAAAAAAGAAAGAAAAAGAAAAAGAAAAAACCCCAACCCCUGACGACUCACCUGAUUAACCUGCUGCAGUUCUGACCCUGCCAAGAGCUGGCAAUUUACUGGUUCAUCAACGAAACAAUAUUGAAUUAUGAAGAUGUAAGAAAAAUUCCUGUGCACACGUUGUUGAAGUUUAAAAGUUUUCUAGGGAGCCCUAUAAUAUUCAGAAGACGAUAGAGGAGACUCCCAGAGCUGAAAGGGUG